GACGAACGCUGGCGGCGUGCCUAAUACAUGCAAGUCGAGCGCAGGAAACUGACGGAACUCUUCGGAGGGAAGGCAGCGGAAUAAGCGGCGGACGGGUGAGUAACACAUAAGGAACCUGCAUCAAGGAUUGGGAUAACUCCGAGAAAUCGGAGCUAAUACCGGAUAGUUCAACGGACCGCAUGGUCCGCUGAUGAAAGGCGCUUCGGCGUCACCUUGAGAUGGCCUUGCGGUGCAUUAGCUAGUUGGUGGGGUAACGGCCCACCAAGGCGACGGGGCAUUGCCGACCUGGGAGGGUGAUCGGCCGCACUGGGACUGAGACACGGCCCAGACUCCUACGGGAGGCAGCAGUAGGGAAUCUUCCACAAUGGACGAAAGUCUGAUGGAGCAAUGCCGCGUGAGUGAUGAAGGUUUUCGGAUCGUAAAACUCUGUUGUAAGGGAAGAACACGUACGAGAGGUAAUGCUCGUACCUUGACGGUACCUUACGAGAAAGCCACGGCUAACUACGUGCCAGCCGCCGCCGUAACAC
rnacentral:rRNA from 1 species